GGGUGUAACUCUGGGGGGGUUAGGGGUUGGGGUCAGGUGUUUGGUGUAACUCUGGGGUUAGUGUUUGGUCUAACCCUGGGGUUAGGGGUUAGGGGUUAGGGUCAGGU